GUCAGAAACCAGUGCCUGUGCCAUCUUUAUACAACGUUAUAUUCAAUCAUUGAAUACGCCAUUAACAUUUUGCAGAUUCUGCUUUUUGAUUUCUUCUUUAUAAGGUUCAACUGAGUAAAUGAGUGAGUUAGACAAAAGCAAGUGUGGCAAUUUAGCAUUCUUGAUAUGAGUUUGGACUCUGUGUCCGUGGCUUGUUCUAUUCAAAGAGGAUCAGAGUGAGGGAAAACAAAAGGUUUCCGCAAUUCCGUAUUUUAUGGUAUCUAAAAGGAUGGGAACACAGAACUGACAGAAGUUGAGUCUGAACUCUCAAGGUUUUAGAAGUUUACCCAACUGGAACACUGGGGACACGUGGACAUGGACAUUCGACAGAUGAAGAGGAGAGAAAAAUGAGAUGGAACAACUGUUACUCCAGAAAGAGGUAAUUAUUUGUUGGCUCAGGUGUGUCGUUAUCUUCUUUGGUUGGGGUGGUAGUCUGGUAGGGGUUGGUUGCAGCCUAUAGUCAUAUUACAUGCAAUGUAAUUUCUUUUACUAUGAUGUCAUUUUCAUAUUUUGAUCAAUAAUAGUUUGAUCCCUCUGGUCUUGUUGAGAGAACCAUUUAGCUUAUCUACUCUAGAGAGUAGAGAUAAACAUGUAAGGCUGUAAGCUACCUGGACAGCAUCUCAAUUCUCAUGUAAAAAAGAAAUAGUUUUUGGCUUGCCAUCGGACUAGUGGGAGUGGGGAGGGUUUCUGAAUACAAUACUGUUCUGUGCUUCUUUAUGACUUUACAGGGUUGGCGUAAUUUUGCAUUUCAAAUGGAAUGGAUUCACGUUUGGUUUUGGCGUAGUUAUUAGUCGUUUCUGGCAGUUUUGAAGGUUAUGGGACCAAUAUCUGUCAAAAUCUUAUCAUAAUGAACUGAAAAGAUGAUAGGGUCAGCUCAUGUCAUGAUGAAGCCUCAUCUUGUCAUAAAUCUCUGCAUGACUCAAUCUAGUAUUCUAGUGAUGAAGUUAUUUAUUUUUUCAGGCUUAUUACCUCACAACAGCCAGGGAAUUAGCCAGAAUGGCAGGGAUUUGAAAGGCACCAAUCUUGCAACACUUCUCAGAAUCAAUUGUUGGGGCUUCCACAAUCCACUGUUUCAAUCAAGAGCAACUAUUCUUGAUCAAAGUCAAGGCUCUAAUUGAUGAUUAUUCUCAGGUGGCCUUUUACAAUUUUGGCACCUUGGAAUGGUUUUCUGUCCGAAUCAAUUUCCUCUUCAAUAUGGUCUUGUAUUUUGUUCUUGUGCCAUCUUCGUUACUUUGCCAAGGUCUACCAUUCAAGAUUGCAGGCCUGAACCAGAGUGGCCAAAGGAGGGAAAAGUUGAACUUCAUAACCUUCAUAUACAGAAUGACCCUGCUGCUCCUAUGGUCCUCAAAGGUGUCACUUGUAUCUUCCCAGGACAAAAGAAAAUUGGUAUAGUAGACAGGACAGGGAAUGGAAAAUCUACGCUGGUGCAAGCCCUCUUUCAAGUGGUGGACCCUUAUGAACGAUGUAUACUUAUUGAUGGUGUUGAUAUUUCCAAGAUUGGUCUGCAAGUUUUGAGAUGUAAGCUUGGUAUAACCUUGUUUCUAGGUACUGUAAGGACUAACUUGGAUCCUCUGGAACACCAUGCAGAUCAAGAACUUUGGGAGGUUCUCAGCAAGUGUCAUCUUACUGAAUUAGUUAGGCAGAUCAAAUUGAAGAGGAAUUUGAUUCGGACAGACAACCAUUCCAUGGUGCCAAAAUUGUGAAAGGCUACCUGAGAAUGAUCGUCAAUUAGAGCCUUAACCUUGGUCAAGAAUAGUUUCUCUUGAUUGAAACAGCGGAUUGUGGCAGCCCCAGCAUUUAUUCUGAGAAGUGAUGCAAGAUUGGCGCCUUUCGAAUCCCUACCAUUCUGGCUAAUUCCAUGGUUAUUGUGAUGUAAUAAGCCUGCAAAAAUAAAUAACUUCAUCAUUAUAAUACUAGAUUGAGUCAUGCAAGAAUUAGCACAUGCAAAGAUUUAUGACUAUAAAAUUGUAUGAUUUUGUUAGAGAUAUGAGAUUUUGCCUUAUUUGAAAUUUGAUUUUCGAAUAAAUUCAGAUAGAAUUUUUGUUUUGUUGCAGAUUUUAUCUUUUAUAUUUUGUCUCAAUUAGUUAAUGUAAUUUCAAAUAAAUCUGAUAGCAGAUUAUAUCUUUUAGGAAUUUCAAAUUGAAUGUGCCUAUACAUAUGCAUUCUCGUUUUAUGAAUUUCAAUAGCAAUUAUUAAAUUCAAUUUUAAUCUCUAUCUUAUCUGCAAGUUCCUAUAUUUCUAUAUUUUAUUUUACUAAAUAUUUCCAACAGUGGUUUCAUAGUUUAUUUCUUAUGGUCAGUGAGGCAAAUUUUUGAUUGAGCGCUAAACACAGUGAGGUUUAGUGCAAACACUACUAAGUGAUCCAAUUUCCAGGCAGUUGUGGUGAAAAUAUGUUCACUUCAGACAAUUCUUCAUCCUCUAAUGUUUAAUUGUGAAAACUAUCACAUUUGAGUUGUGAAGAUAAAGUUUUUUUUCCCUUAAGAUCUCAAAGCUUAUGCAACGUUGUAAUCCCUGUUGUUGAUCCACUACCAUUGAGAGAAAAUCCUACUAUUGCUUAGAGUUAGAUGAAUGAUUAUGACAAACAGAAGCUAAAGAAGGAUAAAACUAUCACUUGCUUGCAUUCAGGACUUGGAAAUCAUAUUUUCACCAAAAUCAAAGACUUGGAAACACCUAAAUAGAUGUGGGACAAGAUCCAAAAUGGAUUUGACAGCAAUAAUAAGGUCAAAUCUGUUAGGCUUCUCAUAUUGAAGAGAGAGUUUGAAUCAAUGAAAAGACGAAGGACAACAAAUCUGCCAAAAAAUUGUGAUCAUCAAGGGGUCUUUAUUGGAAACACCUGUGUUAACACCUACAAGUGCAAACUGCAAGCAAUGGUUGAAGACUACAACAUUUCAAGUUAUUUCAAAGACAUUUAUUUUUUUGCAAUUUGGUUUGAUUUCAUUAUGUACAUGGGCACAGUUGGUGCCAUUUCUAUAUUGGUGGUGUGAUUAGAGAACUUGGUUUUUUUAUUUGGUGUGUUUUCAAUAUGUAAAUGCACCAGAGGAUGGUUUUGUUUCAGUUGCUGUAAAUGCACAUGCACAUGCACAUUGCAGGUGCUCUUUCUUUUGGUGA